UCCGAAUUGGUGUAGUGGCUAACAUUUGACGCUCUCAAGUCUGGUUCUGAUCUCCCUUAUGGGUGUUAGGAAUUAGGUAGAUGUGCCGUCAAGCCCGGGGUUCGAUUCCCCGAUUCGGAG